rnacentral:misc_RNA from 1 species
AUAGUGAUAAUUUUUUAUAGUAUGAAUCGUAAGUUUAAACUUUCUCCUCUUUGUUACGAUGUAAUGAAGGCGUUCUAUCUCAAUCUAAUUAAGAUAAGUUGUAAACUGAUUUCAGUUAGUUUGUUUAGAUUGCUUUCUUUCUACCAUGUGUGCAUACAAAAACAAACUGUACACGAAUUUGUCAUACAGCUAAAUUCCUAAUACAUCUUCCUGUAAAAAUCAUCAAAAGAUGGCUUGUAUCAAUUUUAAUUUCCGAUAUGCUUGUAGAUAUGCAAGAUAAUAUGAAAGCAAAACAUAAAUUAAAUGCAUGGGCAUGUUAACUAUGAAUAGUUUCAAAUCAGAAUAUAGCGUAUGAUAGUCUAUAGAUGUGUAUUAUUAAAAAUAAGAUAAACAGUUUAAAAAAAUGUAUUGAAUAAAAAUAGCUACAACAAUGUUUCAGGGUUAAGUGCAUAUCUGCAUACAGGAGAAGAAAACCGAAUCCUAGAAAAUGGUUAAAAACUGAAAAUACAGCAGUAUUAAAACGAACGAUUCAAUUAUUGAAUACAUUUGUACCAGUACAUUCUUUUCACUUCAUAUUGUCAAAAAAGUUAAACUGUGAUCAUGAAACUUAUGAUUUAAAAAUGGGCCUUGUUUGAUGUCGGGUUUUUUGUGCAUGAAGAAAUAUAAUAUAGUAAGAGUAGAUACCGUAUGUUUUCAUGGUACUACAGGAUAAAAAAGGGACAUGAUAUCUGAGGUAAUAGACUCUAGGAGUGUAAGAUAUUAGAGGUCAAUAAAGAAUUGUGUUAUUGUUU